rfam:Pan troglodytes isolate Yerkes chimp pedigree #C0471 (Clint) chromosome 11, whole genome shotgun sequence.
UGCUGGCUUCGGCAGCACAUAUACUAAAAAUUGGAAAGAUACGGAGAAGAUUAGCAUGGCCCCUGCACAAGAAUGACACACAAAUUCAUGAAGUGUUCCAUAUUAAA